ensembl:lncRNA
GUGCUCGAGGCGGUUUCCGGGGACUGGGCGGCCUGGAUCCCUCUGGGACCGAAGGUCUUAAAGACUGACAGUUUCCAGAGAAAGGCGGCUCUUAGUCGCAAGCUCCCGUCGCGAAAGUAAAGGGAUCCAUGCAAACCGAGGCCCGGAAGAGACAGCCUGGCGGCUACGGGCUGCCGCGAGGUCCAAGCCCCGUGGUUAGGCGUUCCUGCUCGGGGCGGAAUUCUCGCCCGGCGGUCCGGAGCCCGCGGCGGCGUCCCUGAGCCAGCUUUCGGUGUGGCCUGUGCGGUGUGCGGGGAUGAGAGCUCGGAACGGGGGUUGAUGGAGGAGCGGGAGUGACAGUGAAACGACCGAGCCAGAAAGCACGUGGGGAGAGGGGACAGCGCCAUUGGAGGCCUGAUUUCUGGUCCGCUGAACCGGUGGUUUCUCCCUGAGGGACCUGGAAACCAGCAUCCCAGCGACGCCUUGCAGAUGCUGAGUCCUAAGGUUUUCGAAGCCUCCUCCUGAAACUUAGAUGAGAGUCAUGGCUUCCCAUUCAAGGGAGGGGCAGGGAUAUGAUUCUGGGGCAACCGCCUUGGUAACAGAAUCACUUGCAUUGCUAUCAAUUCUCCAAAAGCUACAAUAUAAAGAGGUUGAAGCAAAGAAAAAAAAAAAAAAUCCGGAGAACCGGAUAACCCAAGGGCGUGCAAGACAACGCCUCUUUCUGCAUUGAGGACACCCCAUAAUCUUGACUCAUUGCAAAGUAUUUCACACGAAAAUAAAGAGUCGAGGGGGAGCUUCAGAGAUCUCUUGCAGCACAGCAAAUUAAGGGUCCAGCAUUGUCGCUGUUGCGGCUCAGGUCUCUGCUGUGGCGCAGCUUUGAUCCCUGGGCUGGGACCUGUCCAUGCCUCAGGUGCCGCCAAAAAAAAUAAAUAAAGCGGAGCCUCCAUUCAACCACGUGAAAAGAUGCUCAGCGUCAUUGAAAGUAAAAGGAAUGAAUGCAAAUUUAAAGGACAGAGAUCCCAUGUUUCACCUAGUGGGUGGGCAAAGAAAAGUCUGGUGAAUCUCUGGGUUGGCAAGGUGGCGCCGUUGCCAUUUCAGCUCUCUGCCGAGCACAGCCGCCGUAGGAGCCCCAGAAAUGUAAGUGGACGCACCCCGUGACCCAGCAUCCCAUUCAGGGAUUCACCCCGCAGGUGGACUCGCCCACGUUCACAGCGGUGUUUGUGCUUGAGUAUUUUUGUUGAAGCAGCCACAUCGCCCUGUGUGUCAUCAGUAGAGUCAUAAAGUAUGUGCUUCUUACAGAGGGAACCCUGUGGGUACGGUGGCCUUCAAGGGAUAUUAAGACUACUGUGAGAACUGUAUUUGUGUAGAAAAGACGAUUUGAGGGAUACGGAUGUUUCUGUGGACACAGGAUAUCCCUGGCAAACUAUGCAAGGAAUAGGUCUGUAACUUGACAGAUGUUUCAACCACGUAUCCAUUUUUAAAUAUUUUACCACUAAAAUUAAAGAGACAACCCAGUUGAACAAUCUGCAGAACCCUUGAACAGCUAUUUCACAAGGAAGAGCCAAAACAUGAAAAAGUGCUGCUUCGCAUUAGCCAUCAGGGAAACGCCGACUUAAGCCGCAAUGAAAUACUAGUUACACACCUACCAGAAUGGCCCGUGUGAGACGACACCCCGCGUGGCAGGUGUAGGAAGUAAGCAGGACUUGCACCCACCUCACCGCUGGGGGCGGGAGGGUGAUGGUUAAACCACCUGGACAACCACUAGGAGUGUCUGCUGAAGAUGGACCAAAAGACCUGUGCUAGAAUGUUCCCACAGGACACGGUACAGCCUUGUUCCUGGACAUCCGGCUUGUUUCCAGCGUGGGGCUAGAAUGAACGGAUAGUGGCAUACCUUUGCCACGAAAUACGAAGGAACACCACAUACUGAAAAAUCUCUCCCGAAGACUACACCCUAUACGAUUUCAUUUUAUUUUUUGGCUUUUUAGGGCCGCACCCACAGUCUAUGGAGGUUCCCAGGCUAGGGGUUGAAUCGGAGCUGUAGCCACAGCCACAGCCACAGCCACGCCAGAUCCAAGCCGUGUCUGUGACCUACACCACAGCUCACGGCAAUGCCAGAUCCUUAACCCACUGAGCAAGGCCAGGGAUCGAACCCGAAAUCUUAGGGUUCCUAGUUGGAUUGGUUUCCACUGCGCCACAUGGGGACUCCAAUAUAAGAUUUUAUUAAUAGAAAGCUCCAAAUCGAGCACAGUUGAUCUUCAGGAUGGGAAGAAAGGGCAGGACAGUGGGUACCGUGGAGUGGGAUGGUAGCAUCCUAGUAAUACCCUUUUUCUUGAUCUGGGUGCUGGUUGUAUGGGUGUUCUCUCGGUAAGAACGCAUCCCCAACCUUGUACCUGUAUGAUUUGCGGAGGAGAGACUUCCAAGGGUUGUACAGUAGAAAAUCAGAAAUUUCUUCAGAAGGGAGUUUGGCUGGUUUCUUAUUUUUUCCCAUCGAGUUUGUGGUGCUGAGCGCAUCAGCGGGACCAGGGGAGCCAGGAGGCUGAGACUCCACAGCCCCCGGUGUCUGACAAGGCACACGAAGUCUAACCCCCCACGUGGUGUGAUGCAUUCCCGAUUCCUCUUCCCUGCGCCCCCUCCCUCCUGCUGUGGGCUGAGCCUGCUGGGCCUGUGCCCGGCGGGGGAGGUGUGUGGCUGGCAGAUACGAUGCAACCCAAACUGAGCACCCAGCCCAGGGCUCUGCGCCCCUUGGAUAGCCAGCUUCUCGGGGCACACCUUCCUGGCGCCCUAUCUGAAAUUCCACCCACUGCCAUUCCUGCAACGUGUCACGUCCCUCUCCCGCUUUGCCCCUUGUCACAAGUCACUAGCAGCCCCUGUCUUUCUCUUAUUUCUACCCCCCCCCCACACCCUGCCAUGCCACUCGAGCCUCAGGAAAGGCAGGAAUCUGGGGGCCUCGCUCACUGCCAGGACGUAGGCACUCCGUGGCUGCGCAUCCAACAGAUGAACAAGCUACGGUUGGCCCUUUUCUCAGAUGAAACGGGCCCGAGAGCCUUAAGUGCUGUGCUCAAGGUCCCGCCCUAGCAGGGGAGCCUCGCUGCCUCAUAGACACACUUUGCCCUCAGGUCCCCGUGAAACGGGCACCAUCCCUUGGUGUGGCUGAGAAGUCAGGCUCCCCGUUGAGUGACCUCCCCAGCGAGGCAGAGCGCAGCUCUCCUGUCUGGCUCUCCUGCUCUGGAUACCGUAACAUUGUCACCCUCUGAGGAGCCAGAGGCGUCCCUCACACCCCAGUCCGCUACACCAGGUCCCCAGGGCUCAGGUGCCACGUGAGUGCUCUGCUUGCUGCUGCUGCACCAUGCUUCCUGGCAGCAAGUCCCUGCCCCUCUGUGCUCUGGCUCCAAAAACCCAGCCCUUGUUUUUCUUCCACCCCAGCCUCCAGAUCCUUAGCUUAGACCUAUAGUGGCUCACUCAACAAGUAUUUAAUGAUGGCCUCUCGCCUUGGCACCCCCUUAGGUGCUGCUGACCCAACAAAGCAAAACCAAAGUCCCCGCCUGUCAGGGAGCGCAGAGACUCAUCAAACAGGUAAAUAAGAAUACAGUCAACUUACAAGGACGACUGCUGUGCUCCCGUCGAGGAAAAGACGUAAACAGGGAGCCAGGGCACCUGGGCAUCGACCUGGCCUGGGGUCACAGGGGAGGGCUUCCUCUACGACGUGAUUUUGGGAAGGACACGUGGGUAUUUGAUGAGGAAAGGAAAGGCGGGCGGGAGUGGAGAAAGAGCUCGAAGCAGAGCUAGGUGUGGAGGCGCUGGCUGGAGAGCAGCAGGGACUGGUGGAGUUUCUGCGAGGAGCCCUGUGCAGAGAGCACGGCAUGGGGAUGCGGCUUGGGACCUGGCUGCGGAGCUCGGGAGGGGCCGGUUCUUAACAACCAAGGAGGGAUUCUGGCCAAAUCUGAGGGCCGUGGCGGCCACUGGAGGGUUUGAUCACAUUUGUGGUUUGUAAAGGUCACUCCGGCUGCUCAUUGGCAAAGAGACCGGCAAAAGGCAAGGACAAAUGCAGGGAAAUGUCCACUAAUGAAUGUUGAUGGAAGAAUCACAUGGCAGCAGUCGACAUUCUGCAACCACCAGGGCAUCGCCCUUGAUGGAUGGUGAGCCACUGGGGGAAAGUUCACGGGAAAAUAGAAGUAGUACAUUUAGAUAUCUAAGUAGUCUCGAAGCUUCUUCCCCACAGAUUGCUAAUUCCUCACAAAGGGAGAAUAAAAUAUAUUUAGGACGUUCUCUUGUCCCGCAGCUAGUUACGGAUCCAGUGUUGUCACUGCAGCAGCUUGGGUCGCUGCUGUGGCUCAGGUUUGAUCCCUGGCCCAGGAACUUCAGCAUGCUGCGGAUAAGGCCAAAAAAACAACAGGAGUUCCCAGUCGUGGCUCCGUGGUAACGAACCUGACUAGCAUCCAUGAGGAUGUGGGUUCAAUCCCUGGCCUUGCUCACUGGGUUAAGGAUCAGGCACUACUGUGAGCUGCGGUGUAGGUCGCAGACUUGGCUCGGAUCCCGUGUUGCUGUAGCUGUGGUGUAGGUCGGCAGCUGCAACUGUGAUUCAACCCCUAACCUGGGAACCUUAUGCCACGGCCCUGGGGGAAAAAAACAAACAAACAAACAAACAAAAAAAUACCAACAAAAGCCUUUCCGAUGGAGAAAUCUAUUACCAUUUCAAUCUUGGGUCAAACACCAAAUAUCAGCAAUAAUGAGACAAACUGAUGUUUGUGCAUCCUGGUAGGAUGCCCUGAGGACACACAUCAUUUAUGCAGCACUGCUGCCAAAAAUGUGUUCCCUGACUCCGUGUAGGGGCAGUCAGAACAAUGUACCCUGAGAGGCGUUCACACAGCACGCAGCCUCUACUCUCAAUGCCAGAGUCCCAGAGGACAAAGGAAAGCUGAGAACCCUUCCAGAUUCAAGGCAUUUAAUGGAAUCCCUUAACGGACUCUGCCUCGAAAAUGGAAGGAGGGGCCCCAAGCCGAAGAAGGCAGGCAGCCUCCAGAAGCUGGAAAAGGCCAGGAAAUCUUCCAGAGGCUCCGGGAGGAACCAGCCCUGCUGACAGCUCAGUUUUAGGAACUGGCCUCCUGAACUGUAAGGCAAUAAACUUGUAUUGUUUGAAGCUACUGCGUCUGCAGUAAUAUGUUACAAAGGGGCCAGGGAAAAGGGACGUGGUGGACAACCAGAAACAGACCCGACGCCGAGCCCCGCCACCUGCUUUAUCUCAUAUAAUAGUUUUUUUUUUAUUGAUCUUCUAAUCAAAGUAUUUUGCAUAUUGAUUCAGCCAUCAAAUAAAUAUAGUACUUCUCCCA